GCCUAACACAUGCAAGUCGAACGAAGGCUUCGGCCUUAGUGGCGCACGGGUGCGUAACGCGUGGGAAUCUGCCCCUUGGUUCGGAAUAACAGUUGGAAACGACUGCUAAUACCGGAUGACGACGUAAGUCCAAAGAUUUAUCGCCGAGGGAUGAGCCCGCGUAGGAUUAGGUAGUUGGUGUGGUAAAGGCGCACCAAGCCGACGAUCCUUAGCUGGUCUGAGAGGAUGAUCAGCCACACUGGGACUGAGACACGGCCCAGACUCCUACGGGAGGCAGCAGUGGGGAAUAUUGGACAAUGGGCGAAAGCCUGAUCCAGCAAUGCCGCGUGAGUGAUGAAGGCCUUAGGGUUGUAAAGCUCUUUUACCCGGGAUGAUAAUGACAGUACCGGGAGAAUAAGCUCCGGCUAACUCCGUGCCAGCAGCCGCGGUAAUACGGAGGGAGCUAGCGUUAUUCGGAAUUACUGGGCGUAAAGCGCACGUAGGCGGCUUUGUAAGUAAGAGGUGAAAGCCCAGAGCUCAACUCUGGAAUUGCCUUUUAUACUGCAUCGCUUGAAUCAUGGAGAGGUCAGUGGAAUUCCGAGUGUAGAGGUGAAAUUCGUAGAUAUUCGGAAGAACACCAGUGGCGAAGGCGGCUGACUGGACAUGUAUUGACGCUGAGGUGCGAAAGCGUGGGGAGCAACCAGGAUUAGAUACCCUGGUAGUCCACGCCGUAAACGAUGAUAACUAGCUGUCCGGACAUUUAGUGUUUGGGUGGCGCAGCUAACGCAUUAAGUCAUCCGCCUGGGGAGUACGGCCGCAAGGUUAAAACUCAAAUGAAUUGACGGGGGCCUGCACACAGCGGUGGAGCAUGUGGUUUAAUUUGAAGCAACGCGCAGAACCUUACCAGCGUUUGACAUGGCAGGACGACUUCCAGAGAUGGAUUUCUUCCUCUUCGUGGACCUGCACACAGACAGUGCAUGCAUGUCGUCAGCUCGUGUCGUGAGAUGUUGGGUUAAGUCCCGCAACGAGCGCAACCCUCCCUCUUAGUUGCCAUCAUUUAGUUGGGCACUCUAAAGAAACCGCCGGUGAUAAGCCGGAGGAAGGAGGGGAUGACGUCAAGUCCUCAUGGACCUUCCGCGCUGGCCUACCCACACGCUACAAUCACGGUGACAGUCGGCAGCAAGCACGCGAGUGAGAGCUAAUCUCCAAAAGCCGUCUCAGUUCGGAUUGUUCUCUGUAACUAGAGAGCAUGAAGGAGGAAUCGAUAGUAAUCGCGGAUCAGCAUGCCGCGGUGAAUACGUUCCCAGGCCUUGUACACACCGCCCGUCACACCAUGCGAGUUGGAUUCACCCGAAGGCGUUGCGCUAACUCAGCAAUGAGAGGCAGCCGACCACGGUGGGUUCAGCGACUGGGGUGAAGUCGUAACAAGGUAGCCGUAGGGGAACCUGCGGCUGGAUCACCUCCU
rnacentral:rRNA from 1 species